CAAUAGCGUAUAUUAAAGUUGUUGCAGUUAAAACGCUCGUAGUCGGAUUUCGGGGCGGGCCGACCGGUCUGCCGAUGGGUACGCACUGGUCGGCGCGUCCUUCCUUCCGGAGACCGUGCCUACUCUUAACUGAGCGGGGGCGGGAGACGGAUCGUUUACUUUGAAAAAAUCAGAGUGUUUCAAGCAGGCAGCUCGCUCUUGCAUGGAUUAGCAUGGGAUAAUGAAAUAGGACUUUGGUGCUAUUUUGUUGGUUUCGAACACCGAAGUAAUGAUUAACAGGGACAGUCAGGGGCACUCGUAUUCCGCCGAGAGAGGUGAAAUUCUCAGACCAGCGGAAGACGAACUACUGCGAAAGCAUUUGCCAGGGAUGUUUUCACUG
rnacentral:rRNA from 1 species